rnacentral:lncRNA from 14 species
AAGCAGGAAAAUCCCUAUUCCCACACUUCACAACUUGCACUUGGAGGUGAAAGCCCCCAGGAUAACGGAGCUCAGGGGGUUCACAGGAGGGAUUCCGACCCCAUCCACACGCACCCAUCCCCGGCAGACCCCACAGCUCCAUAAAGCCUUAUACAAAAGCAGCUUCUUCCAGAAUCAGCCCCGUGACACCCCAAACCCACCCCGGGCCCCAAGCACCACACGACAGCCCCCGGCCACCCACCGGGCCGAGGUCUCCGGUUCCCUGCAGGGACACAAGCCUCGGUAAGCGAGGCCGGAGCUCGCACCCCCAGCACCGCACAACCGGUACCUCAUGGCCGAGCACCGGUACCGAGCAGCGGAGCCUGCCCCGGCCGCCCCAUCCCCACCGGGACCCCCGGUACCUGAGUCACGCGGCGCCGCCGUCCGGGCCCGUCCCUCACACUACGCUCAAUGCCCGCAAGCGGCGCAGCCUGCGCGCUUUGCGUAACGCGGAGCAUGCGCGCUGCGCUCCCUGCGCGGCCGGCCGUGUGAGGGGGCAAACGCGUGGACGGCACCGGGAACAGCCUCAGUCCCACAGCGGCCGCACAACCGGUCACACCGCACAACCGGUCACACCGCACAACCGGUCACACCGCACAACCGGUCACACCGGACAACCGGUCACGCCGCACAACCGGAGUGGCUCCGGGCGCUCCCGGUUCCUCCGCCCGCCUCCCGUGGCUUCCCCCGCUGCCACCGCGCAUGCUCCCGCGGCGUGCGCGCUGACCUCAGCGCGCCAUGCACGUACCGUGCGUACGUCGUAGCGUCGCGUCUCCCCCCCUCCCCUUUUCCCCCCCGCCCCGGUAACCGGGGGAGCGGCGGCUGCGGUGGCCGAGGGGUGAGUGAGGGGCUCGGGUUCGGACCGGGCGGUGCGGCCGCUCCUUCCCUACCGGACACCCCGGGUCCCAUCCGGAUGGUGGGAGCGGCGGGGACUGCGGCCUAGUGCGGGCUCGGCCUGGCCCGCACAAAGGGCCCGCCCCCGUGCUGUGGGCCCGCGGUGUGGUGAGGGCGAGCUGCGGUCUUCGGUGCGGGGGGUCCCGUCUGGGAGCAAGC